rnacentral:rRNA from 1 species
CGAAAGCCUGACGGAGCAAGACCGCGUGGGGGAGGAAGGCUCUAGGGUUGUAAACCCCUUUUCUUUGGGAAGAACAAAAUGACGGUACCAAAGGAAUCAGCCUCGGCUAACUCCGUGCCAGCAGCCGCGGUAAUACGGAGGAGGCAAGCGUUAUCCGGAAUGAUUGGGCGUAAAGCGUCCGCAGGUGGCAAUGUAAGUCUGCUGUCAAAGUGCGGAGCUCAACUCCGUAAGAGCAGUGGAAACUGUGAGACUUGAGUGUGGUAGGGGUAGAGGGAAUUCCCAGUGUAGCGGUGAAAUGCGUAGAUAUUGGGAAGAACACCGGUGGCGAAAGCGCUCUACUGGGCCAUAACUGACGCUGAGGGACGAAAGCUAGGGGAGCG